UACAGAGGCCCCGAGCGUUACCCGGAAUCACUGGGCGUAAAGCGUGUGUAGGUGGUCAUAUUAGUCGUUCGUUAAAACCCCGGGCCUAACCCGGGAGAUGCGGGCGAAACGGUAUGACUCGAGGGUGUGAGAGGUGCAUAGAACUCUAGGUGUAGGGGUGAAAUGCGUUGAGAUCUAGGGGAAUACCGAAAGCGAAGGCAGUGCACUGGCGCAUUCCUGACACUCAAGCACGAAAGCGUGGGUAGCGAACGGG
rnacentral:rRNA from 1 species